GCAUAAUGAUGAUGAAUUUAUACUAAUUAUUCCGACUAAAUUCAUGAAAAGGAAUACUAAACCUCCUACUCAUUCUGA